UACGUAGGGGGCAAGCGUUGUCCGGAAUCAUUGGGCGUAAAGAGCGUGUAGGCGGCCAGAUAAGUCCGCUGUGAAAUCUCGAGGCUCAACUUCGAGCUGUCGGUGGAAACUGUCUGGCUAGAGUCCGGAAGAGGAGACUGGAAUUCCUGGUGUAGCGGUGGAAUGCGCAGAUAUCAGGAGGAACACCGGUGGCGAAGGCGGGUCUCUGGGCAGUAACUGACGCUGAGGAGCGAAAGCGUGGGGAGCGAACAGG
rnacentral:rRNA from 1 species